rfam:Schistosoma mansoni strain Puerto Rico chromosome 3, complete genome
AUCCAACCGACGAGUUUCAAAUAGGACGAAACACGCGUCCUGGAU